rnacentral:rRNA from 1 species
UACAGAGGGGGGCAAGCGUUAUUCGGAAUUAUUGGGCGUAAAGGGCGCGUAGGCGGCUUUGCAAGUGACGGGUGAAAUCCCUCGGCUUAACCGGGGAACUGCCUGUCAAACUGCAUGGCUUGAGACCGGGAGAGGUGAGUGGAAUUCCCAGUGUAGCGGUGAAAUGCGUAGAUAUUGGGAGGAACACCAGUGGCGAAGGCGGCUCACUGGACCGGUACUGACACUGAGGCGCGAAAGCGUGGGUAGCAAACAGG